rnacentral:misc_RNA from 1 species
UCCUAGCCUUGAGCACUACCAUGGAAGGGGAUACCACGAACUUUUAUAUCUACCGCAAACUGGAUAAACUGGGAGUCAAACUGAGUGUAAUCGCGCGCGGUAUAUCCGUUGGCGACGAACUGGAAUACGCCGAUGAGGUGACUUUGGGACGCG